rnacentral:tRNA from 1 species
GGAGAGAUGGCCGAGUGGCUUAAGGCGCACGCUUGGAAAGCGUGUAUACGUAAACUGUAUCAUGGGUUCGAAUCCCAUUCUCUCCG